UCGCUCCUACCGAUUGAGUGUUGUGGUGAAUAAUUCGGACUGCAGCAGCGCUUGGAUCCCGAGUGUUGCAGCGGAAAGUUUAGUGAACCUUAACGCUUAGAGGAAGGAG
rnacentral:rRNA from 1 species